rnacentral:rRNA from 1 species
AACCUGGUUGAUCCUGCCAGUAGCCAUAUGCUCGGUUUUAAGCUUAAGCCAUGCAUGUUGAAGUUUAAGCCUCAAGGCGAAACGGCGGAAGGCUCAUUACAAGUGUUAUAAUCCGUUCGGUACAGUGGUCUUCGGAUACCCGUUGUAUAUCUACGGCCAAUACGAGUUUCUCUCCUUCGGGAGUAACGUGGCGCUUUUGUGGGAAGCGUGUGACGUUGUCGCGCUUUAGCGAUGGACCGACUGGGUUUCACACCUAUCAGCAUGUCGUUACGGUCUGGGCGUAACGGAGCUGUCACAGGUAGCGGAGAAUUAGGGUUUGAUUCCGGAGAGGGAGCCUGAGAGACGGCUGCCACAUCUACGGAUGGCAGCAGGCGCGCAAAUUACCCAAUUUUUGACUAGAGAGGUAGUUAGAAAAACUAGCAGGGUUCGCCUAAUGGUUAGCUUCUGCAAUGAACAGUUUCUAAGGUCCGCUGUGAGGAACAACUGGAGGGCAAGUCUGGUGCCAGCAGCCGCGGUAAUUCCAGCUCCAGUAGCGUAUAUUAAAGUUGUUGCGUUUAAAAAGCUCGUAGUUGGUUGUGCGCUCGCUGGUUGAAGGUACUUGUGCAAUCAUCCGAUGAGUGGUUUUUGGCUUUCAGCCGUGUUCACCGUGAGUAAACUAGGGUGAUCCAAACAGGUUGUGCUCGAAUGUUUCAGCAUGGAAUGUGUCGUUGACUGUCGUGAACGGGUCCUGUACCUUGCGAUCGACUGUAAUCGUCAAGAGGGGCAAUUGAUGGAAUUCGUAUUGAGCUGUCAGAGGUGAAAUUCUUGGACCAACUCACGACGAACGGAUGCGAAAGCUCUUUCCACGCAUGCUCCUUUUAAUCAAGAACGAAAGUUGAGGGAUCGAAGACGAUCAGAUACCGUCGUAGUCUCAACUGUAAACUGUGCCGCCUAGAUGCUGGUUGGAUUGUAU